rnacentral:rRNA from 1 species
GACGAACGCUGGCGGCGUGCCUAAUACAUGCAAGUCGAGCGAAGUUUUUCUGGUGCUUGCACUAGAAAAACUUAGCGGCGAACGGGUGAGUAACACGUAAAGAACCUGCCUCAUAGACUGGGACAACUAUUGGAAACGAUAGCUAAUACCGGAUAACAGCAUUAACUGCAUGGUUGAUGUUUAAAAGUUGGUUUUGCUAACACUAUGAGAUGGCUUUGCGGUGCAUUAGCUAGUUGGUGGGGUAAAGGCCUACCAAGGCGACGAUGCAUAGCCGACCUGAGAGGGUGAUCGGCCACACUGGGACUGAGACACGGCCCAGACUCCUACGGGUGGCAGCAGUAGGGAAUCUUCCGCAAUGGGCGAAAGCCUGACGGAGCAACGCCGCGUGAGUGAAGAAGGAUUUCGGUUCGUAAAGCUCUGUUGUUAGGGAAGAAUGAUUGUGUAGUAACUAUACACAGUAGAGACGGUACCUAACCAGAAAGCCACGGCUAACUACGUG